AGCAGAUGAUUAGAUACUUAAAGCCAUGAAGGUUUAGCUUGUCACCAUCAAACACUAGAGAAAAACCACCAGUUUGAUAGUUGGUAAGCAAUAUGCUUGCAAGACCCUGAACCAAUCACCACAACUAAGCAAUAUGCAUGCAACUCCAUUUGAGCUCUCAUUCUGCCUUCAGUUUGAUAGUUGGUUGUGAUUGAAGAUAUUGGGAAUUAGAUUAAGCAACUAUAAACCUACAAGGUGCAGUAGGUUGGAUUACUUGACUAGAAUUGUGGAAUUGUAAUUUUUUACACUUUAGAAACUUGUUUGUAUAUGUACGGAUAUGAAAUAUUGGUUCAGUUAAUAAUGCAUUUGGUGGUGUAUAAUUGGAGGAAGAUUGCUUUUAUUA